AUCAAUUUUACCAGCUAAAGCACUCCUCACAAUAUUUUGAAUGCACGGUCUGCUAGGAAGUAACUAUAUAUAUCUAAGGUCAGAUUGUUGAGUUUAUUGUACGCAUAAUUAAUGUAAACCCACCCAUCCCUCCUCUUAUAUUCUUUCGAUACUGCUGUUUUAUGUCUUAUUUUACAGAUUUCUGCUUGUUUUUAACCUCAACAUAGAACUCCUGUCACGGCUUCUGGAUUUACAACUCUUCGCCAGUCUAUAAACACAAUUAACCACAUUAUGCCGUCCAUCUGACGAGUGAUAACGGAUUAACAGUCAUAGUGAACCGAUAAAUAAUGUUAUGACAGUCUUUUAGAAGAGUUCAUCACUAGAGCGGACUUUAUAGGCUGCACCAGUACCGAUGAACUUGAUUUAUCACUGUAUUAUAAUUUCAUUUAGAACAUUAAUCCAUGUUAUCUUUAUUUUCACCUCAAACGAAAUUUCUCAUGUUGAUUUUGGACAUCUGUUGCCAGGGUUCAAUUCAGCACCCCAUUAUUUCAAAAUUUUCAUUUCAUUUUAGUUUUUAUUCGAAUUUUGAAUUUUAUUUAUCUAUUUUAUUUGCAUUUUAUUUACGGUUGCCCAAAGACCCUUUGUUUGUGGGUUGGUAACCGACAGAAGCCAUGAUCUUACUUCGCCAAUAAAAUAUAUUUUGACUUUAAUAACGUCUUCUCUCUUAUAAGUA
rnacentral:lncRNA from 1 species